GACAAGCGUAAUCAAUUUUAUUAUAAAGAAUGAUGUAGACUGUUCAAAUAUUUUGAAUCUGUCAUUGACCUGACUAAAAGAAAAGCAUUCCGCUGCCGGGGUUUGAACCCGGAUUUCACCAUUGAAAUUAACCGAUGUGCUACAGCGGAUCUAUUGA
rnacentral:sRNA from 1 species